rnacentral:misc_RNA from 1 species
UUGAAAUAAACCUGAUGGGUUGCUGCUGGCUCUCUAGGGAGCAUGUGCACGCCUUGUCAUCUUUAUAUCUCCACCUGUGCACUUUUUGUAGGCCUUUCCAGGUCUAUGUCGCUUCAUUAUACCCCAAUUGCAUGUCAAUAGAAUGUUGUGCCUAUAACAAUAUAUA